UACCCAAGUUGGAUGGAACCCCUAGUAACAAACCUUAUUGUCACGGGUCUAAUUCACAGCUUACGUAGUAAAGUUGUAGAGGUUUAAGACUCUCAAUUUGUUGUCCUAAUCGCACAUUAAUCAUGUUUCACACAGCUUCCUAAAAGCCUUUGUCUUCCUAUAUGUUGUUGUUGAAGGAUUCAUAUAUAUACAUAGUUUUCAACAAUGACUCUUCUGGAAAUUUGAUCUCAUAAUAUUCUCAUGUCUUGCUUCAGGCCAUAGUAAUUUGACAAUUUUAGCUUUAAACUCAAGAAAAUGGGCUGAUAUAAAAAUUCUCCAUGAUUUAAAUCAUCAUUAAACAAUACCAGGUCAACUUUGAAAUCUAUACAUAAUGGUGACUUUUGAAUUUUCUUCACCUUGCUUUGUUUCUAGAAAUUAAAUAUAUUUUUAUUAAUUUGAUCAGUUACUUGUUUCAUGCAUCACAUAUAUUAAAAUAAACCUUGAUAUAUAGGUAUAUAUAUUUAUAUUUAUGUAAAGUAUGCGAGUAUAUGGAAUAGCAAGAUUUUUAUACAUGAUUGCUUGUAUAGUUGUACAAGUUACUAUUCUGUCGUAUUUUUUUUAUCAGGGACAACGUGAGAUCAACCCAUGACUUCAUCUUUAUGGUUUUCUUUUUAACAAAAGUACUUUACACCUCGAAUUCAUGGAGCUUUAGGGGAUUCCGAUUCAUGGAAUAAGUUCUCUUUUAUCAAAACAGAACCAAGAUUAAUGAGAGCACCGCUUCUUUUUUAACUUUUCUAGGGCAAUGGCAAAUGAUGCCUAAAGAAAAAGAAAGGGCAUUAUACAUAAAUGAUUGACAUAAAGUUUUUUAAGCACCAAUUCUUUAACAUCACUAUUUUUUUUUUUUUUUUGCCAGUAACUCUUGUCGCUUCACAUCAUAAUAAUUACACAAGGACAUUAGGGAAUGAAGUUUUCUGUUCAAUAUUUGAUUGUAUUACUUAAAGGCAACUUGAGUGUUUCAUCACAAUUUUUAGGUUUGAAGAGCUAAGGCCUUCAAGCUAAAAUAAAAUUUAGUCACAAUAUGCUGAUUGCAUUUUUUUUCCUUGCUAGCGUUUCACAUGUAUUGCAAGGUUUGAUGCUCAACAUAGUUUUUAUGUCCUCUUUUUCGAAGUAAUUUAGUAUUAUGGGUUGGAGCCUUAAGUUCAUAAGUUGUGGAUGAAGUAAGUAAAAAGAAUAAUAAAAAAAAUAAGGUAGGAAAUGCUUACUCCUGUUACAUAAUUUACUAAUUUAGGCAAUAAUUUAAAAAAACAAACACUUCCUUCGAAUUAGUAUAGCUUUUAAAUGAUUUUUUUUCUCAAGAAAAAAGAAAAGAAAAUCCAUUGUAGCUAAAAAGCAACUUGUUUAAAACUCUGUUGUUUCUAGUAAGAUGUGAAAAUGCUAGAAGCCGUAGGUUUUUGUGUAAUACAAUACAAUAGAAUGGUAUUCAAAGGCUUCGAAGGAGGGCAAUCCGAAAAAGAUUUUUGAACAGAACCAUGUUCCCAUUAAAGAAAAAGAAAAUAGAGAAAAUAGAGGAAGAAAAAGGCCAACGCCAAGCUAAAGGGACAUUUUUAGAGAGAAUUAAAACAAGGGGAUUUAUAGAUUAUUUAGAGCACAAAGACAUUUCCCACUGAACAACAUUUUUUACUCAAAACACAAUAAUUGCAGCCUUUGACGUCUCUCUCUUUCUCCUUAAAACGCUCUCCAACACCCACACGCAAACUCCUUUGACUCUUUACAAAGAAAAAAAAAAGGGAGAGAGAGAGAGAGAGAGAGAGAGAGAGAGGCAAAAGUAAGCAAAGGAAAGGGUAAGCGAAAAUCACAGCCGCAAUUUGGCUUUACGAAAGCCGACUUUUCUAUUGCACAAGUGGGGUGUGAGCAUUUGGUUGGGGAAUCUCUUUUUUUUUUUAAUCAAAUUUUUUUAUUAUUAUUCAUUUUCAUUUUGCUUUCAUUUCCAAUUCAGUCCUCACAAUUUUAUAAAUUGUGGAAAAGGAGUUUCCCUUCUCCCUACGGAAUCAGGCUUCUUCAUUUGUCAAUGUUUGAGGCUCCGGUUUAACUAUAUCUCAACUGCCCCACGUUACCCACACUUCCAUCUUUCCUUUCUCUCAACUAACCCUACUACUUUGUCAUUACUUCAAUUCUGCCAUUGCCAGUCUAUUUCUUUCAUAUAAAUAAUUUUGAAGGGGUGCUUGGUACUGUGAGACUGCACUUGUGACAUGGGCAUCUUAUAUUUUAUGAUUGAGUGCUUGAAGCUUUUCUAUUCUAUAUUCCUCUAUAUAUUUUAAAGCAGUGGAUGCAAUUCAAAGAUUUAGAUGCCCAUACGUGCAACUAUUCAACUUGGCUUCUCAUAUUUUUAUUUUAUUGCCACAUAAAAGUAGAGCUUAGUUUAAUUUAAUUUCUAAUAAUACCCACACCAUUCUGCAUUUAUAACUGUUAUUUGAAGGCAAAAUCAUUUCUAUGUAUGUACAUGAAUUAUAUUCAACAUGCACUUGCCCAAAAAAUUCAACAUGCGAAAUCUAUGAAUUUUUGAGAAUCAUCAUCUUGUUUUCUCAUUAACAACCAAAAUCUUUGAAGAAAACUUCCCAUUUCAUUUUGAUAGUAGCAGCUUCAAAAAAAAAAAAAAAAACCUUACUCUUGACCCAACAGCACAAUUCCUAGCAAUUCAAAAAUUUUGGUAUUGCAUCAUUUUGUGUAAUUUAUAGUGCUUAGUGGAGUCCAAAAGGGCAAUUUUAUAAGGAUAAUAUUAUUGUAUGGUUAAUUUUGUGAGGAACGAAAAUUAGGUGGCAAGAUAAGAAGAGGCAAAAAUUGGGAGGGAAGCAAACAGCAAAGAACUUUGUAAGGGUAUGUUUGUCUUUUGGGCCGAAAAGAUUCUCAGACGAUCUCUCCCAACUUUUCCACCUGAUCCAAAGUAGUGAGACAAGAAGAUUUAGGAAAUCUUGAAAUGGGGCAUCACUUGAAGGUGGCACUUUUGUCAGUUACCAUGAAUCCGACGUGGGUGGCCGUCGUUUUGGAGGCAAGUAGGUCCCUUAACCUUUAUUCCCUCACCCACCCUCCCCCCACGAGGCCAUGACUUCGACCACCCGCAUUAUGACCCAAUUGCCCUUCCCCAAUUCAAC
rnacentral:lncRNA from 1 species